GACGAACGCUGGCGGCGUGCUUAACACAUGCAAGUCGAACGGAAAGGCCCUGCUUUUGUGGGGUGCUCGAGUGGCGAACGGGUGAGUAACACGUGAGUAACCUGCCCUUGACUUUGGGAUAACUUCAGGAAACUGGGGCUAAUACCGGAUAGGAGCUCCUGCUGCAUGGUGGGGGUUGGAAAGUUUCGGCGGUUGGGGAUGGACUCGCGGCUUAUCAGCUUGUUGGUGGGGUAGUGGCUUACCAAGGCUUUGACGGGUAGCCGGCCUGAGAGGGUGACCGGCCACAUUGGGCCUGCGGAACGGCCCAGAAGCCUACGGGAGGCAGCGGUGGGGAAUAUUGCACAAUGGGCGGAAGCCUGAUGCAGCAACGCCGCGGGCGGGAUGACGGCCUUCGGGUUGUAAACCGCUUUCGCCUGUGACGAAGCGUGAGUGACGGUAAUGGGUAAAGAAGCACCGGCUAACUACGUG
rnacentral:rRNA from 1 species